UACGUAGGGGGCUAGCGUUGUCCGGAUUUAUUGGGCGUAAAGGGCGCGUAGGCGGCCUUCUAAGUCGAACGUGAAAUCCCCGGGCUCAACCCGGGAACUGCGUCCGAUACUGGAAGGCUUGAAUCCGGGAGAGGGAUGCGGAAUUCCAGGUGUAGCGGUGAAAUGCGUAGAUAUCUGGAGGAACACCGGUGGCGAAGGCGGCAUCCUGGACCGGCAUUGACGCUGAGGCGCGAAAGCCAGGGGAGCAAACGGG
rnacentral:rRNA from 1 species